CCUUAUACGCCCUUUGGGGGAAAGAUUUAUCGGAGAAGGAUUAGCCCGCGUUAGAUUAGGUAGUUGGUGGGGUAAUGGCCUACCAAGCCUACGAUCUAUAGCUGGUUUGAGAGGAUGAUCAGCCACACUGGGACUGAGACACGGCCCAGACUCCUACGGGAGGCAGCAGUAGGGAAUCUUAGACAAUGGGGGCAACCCUGAUCUAGCCAUGCCGCGUGUGUGAUGAAGGCCCUAGGGUCGUAAAGCACUUUCGCCAGAGAUGAUAAUGACAGUAUCUGGUAAAGAAACCCCGGCUAACUCCGUGCCAGCAGCCGCGGUAAUACGGAGGGGGUUAGCGUUGUUCGGAAUUACUGGGCGUAAAGCGCACGUAGGCGGAUUAGUAAGUUAGAGGUGAAAUCCCAGGGCUCAACCCUGGAACUGCCUUUAAUACUGCUAGUCUUGAGUUCGAGAGAGGUAAGUGGAAUUCCGAGUGUAGAGGUGAAAUUCGUAGAUAUUCGGAGGAACACCAGUGGCGAAGGCGGCUUACUGGCUCGAUACUGACGCUGAGGUGCGAAAGUGUGGGGAGCAAACAGGAUUAGAUACCCUGGUAGUCCACACCGUAAACGAUGAAUGCCAGACGUCAGCAAGUAUACUUGUUGGUGUCACACCUAACGGAUUAAGCAUUCCGCCUGGGGAGUACGGUCGCAAGAUUAAAACUCAAAGGAAUUGACGG
rnacentral:rRNA from 1 species